rnacentral:lncRNA from 1 species
AUUCAGGAACAUCUCCUUGAAGAAGCACAACCGCUUGCGCUCUGCUUCCUGACAGCCCUCAAACACCUGCUCCAUGUCCUCCAUGUAGCGGGGAUUGUAGCGGUUCAGCUCUUCUAGCAUCUUCUCAUAUUGAUCCUUGCACUUCUCAGCCUCUUGAGUACACUUCUCAACACGCUCCUGCAACUUGCGCAGCUGCUCCUGUGAGACAGAGGAGUCUGCCUUGGCGUGAUUCUCCCUUGUAUGGGCUGUUUUCUCCUCCUUCCGGGCUGCAUGAUAGUUUUUCUUAGAAGUCUCCACAUCUUUCAUCUUCUUCACCCAGGGCUUCUGAGCCUUGCGGAACCCAUCCUCUGCCUCCUUUGUCUCCUUGAAGCCCCCAAUUAUUUGCUUGUGGUAGGCCUCCUUCUGCCAGGCCUUGAUCUUAUCUGAAUCUUCUCCAGCCAGGUGGUUCCUGACAACUAAAUGAAUCUCACUUAGUUUGUCCGCAGCUGUCAAGAAGGCAUGCCAGGCCUUCUCCAGAGUACCGUAUUGUGGACCUGCAAGAACAAGCACAAGAGGGGCAUUAUACCUCCUGCCCAUAAAUAAAAACAAAACAUUAUUUUUCUCCUACAUGCAUCUCUUUGG